UACGGGGGGAGCAAGCGUUGUUCGGAUUUACUGGGCGUAAAGGGCGCGUAGGCGGCGUGACAAGUCACUUGUGAAAUCUCCGGGCUUAACCCGGAGCGGCCAAGUGAUACUGUCGUGCUAGAGUGCGGAAGGGGCUACUGGAAUUCUCGGUGUAGCGGUGAAAUGCGUAGAUAUCUGGAGGAACACCGGUGGCGAAGGCGGCAUCCUGGACCGGUAUUGACACUGAGGCGCGAAAGCCAGGGGAGCAAACGGG
rnacentral:rRNA from 1 species